rnacentral:misc_RNA from 1 species
CAGAGUUCGUGCCCUUCGGGGUAGACCUCCCACCCUUUGUAUACAUACCAUUGUUGCUUCGGCGGCUCGCCGCAAGGCCCUCGGCUUCGGCUGGGGCGUGGCCGCCGGAGGACCCCCCACCCUGAAUUACAGUGUCGUCCGAGUACUAUAUAAUAGUUA